AAUAUUGGACAAUGGGGUCAACCUUGAUCCAGCCAUUCCGCGUGUGUGGAGAAGGUCUUCUGAUUGUAAAGCACUUUAAGUUGGGAGGAAGGGCUUUCGGUUAAUACCCUGAAGUUUUGACGUUACCAACAGAAUAAGCACCGGCUAACUCUGUGCAAGCAGCCGCGGUAAUACAGAGGGUGCAAGCGUUAAUCGGAAUAACUGUGCGUAAAGCGCGUGUAGGUGGUUCAGUAAGAUGGGCGUGAAAUCCCCGGGCUUAACCUGGGAACUGCUUUCAUAACUGCUGAGCUAGAGUACGGUAGAGUGUAGUGGAAUUUCCUGUGUAGCGGUGAAAUGCGUAGAUAUAGGAAGGACCACCAGUGGCGAAGGCGACUACCUGGACUGAUACUGACACUGAGGUGCGAAAGCGUGGAGAGCAAAC
rnacentral:rRNA from 1 species